GACGAACGCUGGCGGCGCGCUUAACACAUGCAAGUCGGACGGAAAGGCCUGCUUUCCCUUGUGGAUUGCGGGUACUCGAGUGGCGAACGGGUGAGUAACACGUGAGUGAUCUGCCCCCAACCUGGGUAUAAGCCUGGGAAACUGGGUCUAAUUCCCGAUAGGACUGCAGGGUGGUGCCUGUGGUGGAAAACGAUUUUCUAGUGGUUGGGGAUGAGCUCGCGGCCUAUCAGCUUGUUGGUGGGGUAAUGGCCUACCAAGGCGGCGACGGGUAGCCGGCCUGAGAGGGUGGACGGCCACAUUGGGACUGAGAUACGGCCCAGACUCCUACGGGAGGCAGCAGUGGGGAAUAUUGCACAAUGGGCGGAAGCCUGAUGCAGCGACGCCGCGUGGGGGAUGACGGCCUUCGGGUUGUAAACUCCUUUCGACCGCGAGGAAGCCACCUGGUUGGAAGGGUGGUGACGGUAGUGGUAGAAGAAGCACCGGCUAACUACGUG
rnacentral:rRNA from 1 species